AAAAUUGAAUAGUACCCCUGUACGUAUAAUCAUUGGAGAAUGGCCAAUAAGUUUCUACCCGUGUCCCGAGACACGGACUACUACAGGUGUGUCAAAGGGC
rnacentral:ncRNA from 2 species